rnacentral:lncRNA from 1 species
AUGUGCUCCUGGAGUUUGCAAUACAAAAGAAUGCUGAAACUAAGACAAACACACAUUCUGGACUUUAAGAGAGCUGACUUCCAAAAAAUAAAGGAAUUACUGAGCGGCAUUCCAUGGACGCCAAUAUUAAAAAACAAGGGAGUUAAGGAUGGAUGGGAGUUUUUCAAAAGUGAAAUACUCAAGGCGCAAAUGCAAACAGUGCCAACAAAGAAGAAAAAUAAGACAAGUGCAAAGAAGCCAGAAUGGAUGUCCAAAGAACUUCUAACUGAGCUAAAGCUCAAAAGUGACAUGCAAAAGAAGUGGAAAAGGGGAGAAAUCACCAAAGAAGAAUUCAAACGUAUAGCCAACACCUGUAGGGAAAAUUUUCGCAAGGCUAAAGCACAAAAUGAGCUCAGGCUUGCCAGGGACAUAAAAAACAACAAAAAAGGCUUUUUUGCUUACGUUGGUAGAAAAAGGAAGAAAAAGGAGGUGAUAGGGCCUCUGCAAGGAGAAGAUGGGGUGAUGGCGACAGGGGACAGGGAAAAGGCAGAACUGCUCAAUGCCUUCUUUGCCUCGGUCUUCUCACAAAAAGAAAGCCAUCUUCAACCUCAGCAACAUGGAAUGGACGAAGGAUUGGGGGAAAUCCAACCCCAAAUAGGGAAACAAGCUGUCCAGGAACACCUGGCCUCUCUAAACGAAUUCAAGUCCCCAGGGCCAGAUCAGCUACAUCCAAGAGUAUUGAAGGAAUUAGCGGAAGUUAUUUCAGAACCACUGGCAAUUAUCUUCGAGAGUUCUUGGAGAACGGGAGAAGUCCCAGCAGAUUGGAGGAGGGCUGUGAUGAACCAUGGGCCUUGUAGUCCUGCUCAGGACAUUGUAAUCCCUGAUGAAGAUGAAAACUUGGGUUUUUUACCUUCCCAGUCUGAACUGGAUUCCUCUCAGCCAGAUCCUUCCCAGGCAGAUCAGAAACAGAUGCAGUCAUUGCUAAUAGUCAACACGGAUUUACCAAAAAUAAGUCAUGCCAGACUAAUCUGA